rnacentral:ncRNA from 18 species
AGAAAACCCGAGGGGAGCUCCAUAAGCCGGGGCUGAGAGGAAGGCGGAAGUCUUCGACCCUUAGAACCUGAACCGGGUAAUACCGGCGGAGGGACGGGUAGAGAAAAUUUC